AAGAGCUUGCUUUUUUGUGUGGAGAGUGGCGGACGGGUGAGGAAUACAUAGGAAUCUACUUUUUAGUGGGGGAUAACGUUGGGAAACUUACGCUAAUACCGCAUACGUCCUACGGGAGAAAGCAGGGGAUCUUCGGACCUUGCGCGAUCGAAUGAGCCGAGGUCGGAUUAGCUAGUUGGCGGGGUAAAGGCCCACCAAGGCGACGAUCCGUAGCUGGUCUGAGAGGAUGAUCAGUCACACUGGAACUGAGACACGGUCCAGACUCCUACGGGAGGCAGCAGUGGGGAAUAUUGGACAAUGGGCGCAAGCCUGAUCCAGCCAUACCGCGUGGGUGAAGAAGGCUUUCGGGUUGUAAAACCCUUUUGAUGGGAAAGAAAGGCA
rnacentral:rRNA from 1 species